rnacentral:misc_RNA from 1 species
GUAGGUGAACCUGCGGAAGGAUCAUUAUAAAAUUUUCAUAUAUUAAUUUAUUUAAUAUAUAAAAUUAUAUUCAAAACCCACACACUUUAUAACCAAAAAAAAAUAAUAUAUAUUUUAUUAUAUAUAUAAUAAAAAUAAUAAAAAAUGACAACUUUCAACAACGGAUCUCUUGGCUCUC